CCAAUACAAACUGUAGAUCGUUCGAGUUCUUGGUUAGAGUUGUUAUUUCGAACGCACCUAUGUUUUCAUAAUAUGGUCGGAUAUGCGUUUGAAUGUACUGUUAUUCUAGUUCAGUUCAAAGCUCUCUUUACACAACAAAACUUGUCUCUCCACGUGUUUGAGUUUAACUGAAGAAUUUCACGAUGUUUUUAAUGUACUAUGAAAAUGAAAGCGGGGAACGUGUGUACACUUUAAAGAAAAUAGAUCCAGAAGGCAGACCUACAUUGUCCGCACAUCCAGCAAGAUUUUCACCCGAUGAUAAAUAUUCAAGACAUAGAAACACAAUCAAGAAGAGAUUUGGCAUUCACCCAAUACAGCAACCAAAGAUGGAAAUGUAAAAUAAUCAUAAAGAUCAUUUGGAAACAAUAAACAAUAUGCCAUUUUGAAAAUGGAGAAAAGACAAAAGAUUAUUCAUACUAUCAAACUACACUUACCAUAACCAUUUAUAGAUAGACAUGUUUGAUGAAUACUUCUGUAAAAACUUGUUGAUGUAAAUAAAUGUUCAUACAAUUGGUAAAAAAAUAAAUAAUUAAAAGAUAUCUGGACUUUC